CUUUCAUUCAAAAAACAAUCCACGAUGUUGAAGGAGUUGUAAAAGAAAUAAAAGUAUUUUUAAUAUCUAAACCAAUUCCAAGUAAUGUAUGUGCCUAUUUCACUCACACAACUGCACACCCAAGUGUGGACCAUGCAGUGACUUCCUUUUAAAAGCUACACUGUGUUAAAAAUAAUUCAUGACACUUGUUAAAGAACAGAAAGGCAGACUUUAUAUAGGACCACUGCAAUAGGUAUAGGAACCACUCCAGUGGUGUUUUGCAGUAAAGACUGAGCUCAACUCCUAAUACAAGAAAAAAAUGGGGAUUUAUAGUCAAGGAUCUAUCCCUUGACUCCCCAAGGAUGAACGAGUCAGAGGAUGAGAAAUUACUAACAGAAAACACGUAGGAGCCGCCGGGCACAAUGGCUCACCUGUACUACCAGCACUUUGGGAGGUAGAGGGGAGCGGAUUACUUGAGGUCAGGAACUCGAGACCAGCCUGGCCAACAUGGCAAAACCCUCUCUACUAAAAAUACAAAAGUUAGCCAGGCGUAGUGUCACACACCUGUAAUCCCAGCUACUUGAGAAGCUGAGGCAUGAGCAUUGCAUGAACCCAGGAAGUGGAGGUUGCAGUGAGCCGAGAUCACACCACUGCACGCCAGCAUGGGCAACAGAGCGAGACUCCAUCUCAAAAGACAUUCAGGGUAAUGAAGACCAUCUUCCACCAAGCCUUCCACACAUACAAGAUGGACAUAGACCCCAAGCAAGGGACACAGCAGUGCUUGUGUGUUGUGUGCAGUGCAGCUCAGGGGCAGGCUCUUUGAGAUCUUGCUUUCCCACAGACCAGCCACUGCCACCUAUAUCCAGGGCAAAGGCAAGGCGGUGAUUGUGGAGAGGUAAGUCACCCACGUGCUCAGCUUCAAUGCAGGUGAACCACUGUACAGGGCAGCUUCCAAAUACCUGUCUAGAAUGUGCACCUAGUUGUCUAGAGUAGCUCCUGAAUAGUUGACUAGAAUGUGCACCUUAGCAUGGGAGUGGGUGGGGGAGAAGACGGGAGCAGAGACAUAUGUUAGACAAGCAGGUUCAAGACUCUCUGUCUUCCUGGGUGGAUUAAAAAUUCUUUAAGGGGAGAGUC
rnacentral:lncRNA from 1 species